ACCGCCAUGGACGACGGUGGUUCCAAACAGAAACGAUGUUUUAAAGCAUCAACACAAAACUGUAAAUUGAAGCUUUAAAACUCGUGGUUUAGUUUUUGACACGGACGUCAAAAACUAAACCGUG
rnacentral:sRNA from 1 species